UUAAGCGACUAAGCGUACACGGUGGAUGCCCUGGCAGUCAGAGGCGAUGAAGGACGUGCUAAUCUGCGAAAAGCGUCGGUAAGGUGAUAUGAACCGUUACAGCCGGCGAUGUCCGAAUGGGGAAACCCAGUGUGAUUCGUCACACUAUCGUUAACUGAAUACAUAGGUUAACGAGGCGAACCGGGGGAACUGAAACAUCUAAGUACCCCGAGGAAAAGAAAUCAACCGAGAUUCCCCCAGUAGCGGCGAGCGAACGGGGAGCAGCCCAGAGUCUGAAUCAGCUUGUGUGUUAGUGGAACGGUCUGGAAAGUCCGACGGUACAGGGUGAUAGUCCCGUACACCAAAAUGCACAGGCUGUGAACUCGAAGAGUAGGGCGGGACACGUGGUAUCCUGUCUGAAUAUGGGGGGACCAUCCUCCAAGGCUAAAUACUCCUGACUGACCGAUAGUGAACCAGUACCGUGAGGGAAAGGCGAAAAGAACCCCGGCGAGGGGAGUGAAAAAGAACCUGAAACCGUGUACGUACAAGCAGUGGGAGCACCUUCGGGUGUGACUGCGUACCUUUUGUAUAAUGGGUCAGCGACUUAUAUUCUGUAGCAAGGUUAACCGUAUAGGGGAGCCGCAGGGAAACCGAGUCUUAACUGGGCGUUAAGUUGCAGGGUAUAGACCCGAAACCCGGUGAUCUAGCCAUGGGCAGGUUGAAGGUUGGGUAACACUAACUGGAGGACCGAACCGACUAAUGUUGAAAAAUUAGCGGAUGACUUGUGGCUGGGGGUGAAAGGCCAAUCAAACCGGGAGAUAGCUGGUUCUCCCCGAAAGCUAUUUAGGUAGCGCCUCGUGAACUCAUCUUCGGGGGUAGAGCACUGUUUCGGCUAGGGGGUCAUCCCGACUUACCAACCCGAUGCAAACUACGAAUACCGAAGAAUGUUAUCACGGGAGACACACGGCGGGUGCUAACGUCCGUCGUGAAGAGGGAAACAACCCAGACCGCCAGCUAAGGUCCCAAAGUCAUGGUUAAGUGGGAAACGAUGUGGGAAGGCACAGACAGCCAGGAUGUUGGCUUAGAAGCAGCCAUCAUUUAAAGAAAGCGUAAUAGCUCACUGGUCGAGUCGGCCUGCGCGGAAGAUGUAACGGGGCUAAACCAUGCACCGAAGCUGCGGCAGCGACACUAUGUGUUGUUGGGUAGGGGAGCGUUCUGUAAGCCUGCGAAGGUGUGCUGUGAGGCAUGCUGGAGGUAUCAGAAGUGCGAAUGCUGACAUAAGUAACGAUAAAGCGGGUGAAAAGCCCGCUCGCCGGAAGACCAAGGGUUCCUGUCCAACGUUAAUCGGGGGCAGGGUGAGUCGACCCCUAAGGCGAGGCCGAAAGGCGUAGUCGAUGGGAAACAGGUUAAUAUUCCUGUACUUGGUGUUACUGCGAAGGGGGGACGGAGAAGGCUAUGUUAGCCGGGCGACGGUUGUCCCGGUUUAAGCAUGUAGGCUGAUUGUCCAGGCAAAUCCGGAUAAUCAAGGCUGAGGUGUGAUGACGAGGCACUACGGUGCUGAAGUAACAAAUGCCCUGCUUCCAGGAAAAGCCUCUAAGCAUCAGGUAACAUCAAAUCGUACCCCAAACCGACACAGGUGGUCAGGUAGAGAAUACCAAGGCGCUUGAGAGAACUCGGGUGAAGGAACUAGGCAAAAUGGUGCCGUAACUUCGGGAGAAGGCACGCUGGUGUGUAGGUGAAGUCCCUGCGGAUGGAGCUGAGACCAGUCGAAGAUACCAGCUGGCUGCAACUGUUUAUUAAAAACACAGCACUGUGCAAACACGAAAGUGGACGUAUACGGUGUGACGCCUGCCCGGUGCCGGAAGGUUAAUUGAUGGGGUUAUCCGUAAGGAGAAGCUCUUGAUCGAAGCCCCGGUAAACGGCGGCCGUAACUAUAACGGUCCUAAGGUAGCGAAAUUCCUUGUCGGGUAAGUUCCGACCUGCACGAAUGGCGUAAUGAUGGCCAGGCUGUCUCCACCCGAGACUCAGUGAAAUUGAACUCGCUGUGAAGAUGCAGUGUACCCGCGGCAAGACGGAAAGACCCCGUGAACCUUUACUAUAGCUUGACACUGAACAUUGAGCCUUGAUGUGUAGGAUAGGUGGGAGGCUUUGAAGCGUGGACGCCAGUCUGCGUGGAGCCAACCUUGAAAUACCACCCUUUAAUGUUUGAUGUUCUAACGUUGGCCCCUGACCGGGGUUGCGGACAGUGUCUGGUGGGUAGUUUGACUGGGGCGGUCUCCUCCCAAAGCGUAACGGAGGAGCACGAAGGUUAGCUAAUCCUGGUCGGACAUCAGGAGGUUAGUGCAAUGGCAUAAGCUAGCUUGACUGCGAGCGUGACGGCGCGAGCAGGUGCGAAAGCAGGUCAUAGUGAUCCGGUGGUUCUGAAUGGAAGGGCCAUCGCUCAACGGAUAAAAGGUACUCCGGGGAUAACAGGCUGAUACCGCCCAAGAGUUCAUAUCGACGGCGGUGUUUGGCACCUCGAUGUCGGCUCAUCACAUCCUGGGGCUGAAGUAGGUCCCAAGGGUAUGGCUGUUCGCCAUUUAAAGUGGUACGCGAGCUGGGUUUAGAACGUCGUGAGACAGUUCGGUCCCUAUCUGCCGUGGGCGCUGGAGAAUUGAGGGGGGCUGCUCCUAGUACGAGAGGACCGGAGUGGACGCAUCACUGGUGUUCGGGUUGUCAUGCCAAUGGCACUGCCCGGUAGCUAAAUGCGGAAGAGAUAAGUGCUGAAAGCAUCUAAGCACGAAACUUGCCCCGAGAUGAGUUCUCCCUGAGACUUUAAGUCUCCUGAAGGAACGUUAAAGACGAUGACGUUGAUAGGCCGGGUGUGUAAGCGCAGCGAUGCGUUGAGCUAACCGGUACUAAUGAACCGUGAGGCUUAACCUU
rnacentral:rRNA from 1 species